rnacentral:rRNA from 1 species
GAUGAACGCUGGCGGCGUGCCUAAUACAUGCAAGUCGAGCGAACGGACGAGAAGCUUGCUUCUCUGAUGUUAGCGGCGGGAGGGGGAGUAUAACAUGGAUAACCUACCUAUAAGACUGGGAUAACUUCGGGAAACCGGGGCUAAUACCGGAUGAUAUUUUUAACCGCAUGGUUCAAAAGUGAAAGACGGUCUUGCUGUCACUUAUAGAUGGAUGCGCGCUGCAUUAGCUAGUUGGUAAGGUAACGGCUUACCAAGGCAACGAUGCAUAGCCGACCUGAGAGGGUGAUCGGCCACACUGGAACUGAGACACGGUCCAGACUCCUACGGGAGGCAGCAGUAGGGAAUCUUGCGCGAUGUGCGAAAGCCUGACGGAGCAACGCCGCGUGAGUGAUGAAGGUCUUCGGAUCGUAAAACUCUGUUAUUAGGGUAGAACAUAUGUGUAAGUAACUGUGCACAUCUUGACGGUACCUAAUCAGAAAGCCACGGCUAACUACGUG